rnacentral:rRNA from 1 species
ACUACGGGCGGCAGCAGUGAGGAAUAUUGGUCAAUGGGCGCGAGCCUGAACCAGCCAAGUAGCGUGAAGGAUGACUGCCCUAUGGGUUGUAAACUUCUUUUAUAAAGGAAUAAAGUGAGGCACGUGUGCCUUUUUGUGUGUACUUUAUGAAUAAGGAUCGGCUAACUCCGUGCCAGCAGCCGCGGUAAUACGGAGGAUCCGAGCGUUAUCCGGAUUUAAUGGGUUUAAAGGGAGCGUAGGUGGGUUGUUAAGUCAGUUGUGAAAGUUUGCGGCUCAACCGUCAAAGUGCAAUUGAUACUGGUAGUCUUGAGUACAGUUGAGGUAUGCGGAAUGCGUGGUGUAGCGGUGAAAUGCUUAGAUAUCACGAAGAACUCCGAUUGCGAAGGCAGCUUACUAAACUGCCACUGACGUUGAUGCUCGAAAGUGUGGGUAUCAAACAGGAUUAGAUACCCUUGUAGUC